rnacentral:rRNA from 1 species
UACGGAGGGUGCAAACGUUGCUCGGAAUCAUUGGGCGUAAAGCGCACGUAGGCGGUCCUGUAAGUCGGGUGUGAAAUCCCUCGGCUUAACCAAGGAAGUGCAUUCGAAACUACAGGACUUGAGUACUGGAGAGGGUCGCGGAAUUCUCGGUGUAGAGGUGAAAUUCGUAGAUAUCGGGAGGAACACCAGUGGCGAAGGCGGCGACCUGGUCAGAUACUGACGCUGAGGUGCGAAAGCCAGGGGAGCGAACGGG